CUAAAAUUAGCCAGGCUUGUGGCGAAUGCCUGUAAUCCCAGCUACUCGGGAGGCUGAGGCACAAGAAUCGCUUGAACCCGAGAGGCAAAGGUUGCAGUGAGCCGAAAUGGUACCACUGCACUCCAGCCUGGGUGCCAGGGCGAGACUCUGUCUCAAAUAACAACAACAAGAACAAAACAAGCCUUCUAUGUCUAGUUUCCAUGUGGCUGUUCCCGCCAAGUUCUGCCUCUGCCUACUAUCCUUGGGGUAAACCUCCACCCGGACAGUGUGCUGGGCCGGGGCACCCACCCUCUGGGAGCUAGGAGUGUGGGCUCAGGGCGCUCAGGGUUGCCCUCCCCUACAGAAUUGUCAUCAGCCCAGCAGGAAUUGGCUCACCCAGGCACACCCACCACCUUCUCCAAAACCCAGAGCUAAUGACUGACUGGCACAGGGUACAAAAGCCUGGCCCCUUUGUCUUCUGGUAAAGCCGACACGGUGCUGCGGUUCCUGCUCUGGAGCUCUGUAGGAAGGCUGAAGCUCGGCUCCAGCUGAGACUGCAUCCCCUGCCUUCUCCUUCCUCCCUCACUCCCCUGGGCUUGAGAGGACCCCUUCAAUAAAUCAAGUGCACCGAAUGCCUGCCUUGGGCUCUUGGGAAUUUCUUGGGACUUGGCCCAGAGUUGACAGUCGCUGAGUUCUUGAUCCAGGCUUCCCCGCAGACACUGUCUGUGUGUCUUGGGCUCCAUGCUUUUGCUCUGGACCCAGGCCCCCAGAUUCCUAGGAUGGGAAUAGGACCCAGGUUCCUGUUGGAAUGAGACAGUUUAGGCAAUGCUCAAAUCGUGAAGCCCCCUAAGCCCUCACCUGACUCCCCCAGGCAGAUGUUUGUAGCUCGCUGUCACCUGUCCUAUCCUGUGAAGUGACUGCUCUGGGAUUGACUUACUGCUCCUCUCUCUCAUUUGGCCUUGAGUGCCCGAGGGGCAAAACUGCAGCAGAGUGGCUCCUGUAUCCUCAGCACUCAACAUGGACCCCGUUGUUGGUGUUCAAGAAACAUUUGAGGAGCUGCACUUACUUGGAAUGAGAAAAAGUUACACCCAUGACCUCCAGUCUGUCCCUUCAGGAGAUAAAGCGAGUCUGUGACAUGGCCACAGAUGCCUGCAGUCCCAGCCCCCUGGCCAGAAGCAUUUCUGUAGGUUACAGCUGAGAGCCUUCAGCCAGGUCAGUAUGAAAUGAAAAUGAAAAGCUCAUAUUUUGUUGUUUUUUUUUUUUUGAGGAGGGAGAGGGUAUAUUAACGGCAUUCUUCAGUAAUGAUAAGAAUAUGUUUCUUUUCUUUUUUUUAAGACAGGGUCUCUCUCUCUGUCACCCAGGCUGGACUGCACUGGCAUGAUCUUGGCUCACUGCAACCUCUGCUCCCCAGGCUCAAGUGAUCCUCCUACCUCAGCCUCCCAAAGUGCUGG
rnacentral:lncRNA from 1 species